rnacentral:rRNA from 1 species
AACGAACGCUGGCGGCAUGCCUAACACAUGCAAGUCGAACGAGACCUUCGGGUCUAGUGGCGCACGGGUGCGUAACGCGUGGGAACCUGCCCUUAGGUUCGGAAUAACUCCCCGAAAGGGGUGCUAAUACCGGAUAAUGUCCUCGGACCAAAGAUUUAUCGCCUUUGGAUGGGCCCGCGUUGGAUUAGCUAGUUGGUAGGGUAAAAGCCUACCAAGGCGACGAUCCAUAGCUGGUCUGAGAGGAUGAUCAGCCACACUGGGACUGAGACACGGCCCAGACUCCUACGGGAGGAAGCAGUGGGGAAUAUUGGACAAUGGGCGAAAGCCUGAUCCAGCAAUGCCGCGUGAGUGAUGAAGGACUUAGGGUUGUAAAGCUCUUUUACAAGGGAUGAUAAUGACAGUACCGGGAGAAUAAGCUCCGGCUAACUCCGUG